rnacentral:rRNA from 1 species
UUCUCCUACGGGACGCAGCAGUGGGGAAUAUUGCACAAUGGGGGGAACCCUGAUGCAGCGACGCCGCGUGGGUGAAGGAGUAUUUCGGUAUGUAAAGCCCUAUCAGCAGGGAAGAACAAUGACGGUACCUGACUAAGAAGCACCGGCUAAAUACGUGCCAGCAGCCGCGGUAAUACGUAGGUGGCGAGCGUUAUCCGGAAUGAUUGGGCGUAAAGGGUGCGCAGGCGGUCCUGCAAGUCUGGAGUGAAACGCAUGAGCUCAACUCAGGCAUGGCUUUGGAAACUGGAGG